rnacentral:rRNA from 1 species
GACAGAGGUGCCAAGCGUUAGGCGGAAUCACUGGGCUUAAAGCGUGUGUAGGCGGAUGCCUAAGUACCUUGUGAAAUCCCACGGCUCAACCGUGGAACUGCUGGGUAUACUGGGUGUCUUGGGUCAGCUAGGGGUUGCCGGAACAAAUGGUGGAGCGGUGAAAUGCGCAGAUAUCAGGAGGAACACCGGUGGCGAAGGCGGGUCUCUGGGCCGAUACUGACGCUGAGGAGCGAAAGCGUGGGGAGCGAACAGG